rnacentral:rRNA from 1 species
UACGGAGGAUCCAAGCGUUAUCCGGAUUUAUUGGGUUUAAAGGGUGCGUAGGCGGCCUGUUAAGUCAGGGGUGAAAGACGGUAGCUCAACUAUCGCAGUGCCCUUGAUACUGAAGAGCUUGAAUACACUAGAGGUAGGCGGAAUGUGACAAGUAGCGGUGAAAUGCAUAGAUAUGUCACAGAACACCAAUUGCGAAGGCAGCUUACUAUGGUGUCAUUGACGCUGAGGCACGAAAGCGUGGGGAUCAAACAGG